rnacentral:rRNA from 1 species
GAUGAACGCUGGCGGCGUGCCUAAUACAUGCAAGUCGAGCGAACAGACGAGGAGCUUGCUCCUCUGACGUUAUCGGCGGACGGGUGAGUAACACGUGGAUAACCUACCUAUAAGACUGGGAUAACUUCGGGAAACCGGCUCUAAUACCGGAUAAUAUAUUGAACCGCAUGGUUCAAUAGUGAAAGACGGUUUUGCUGUCACUUAUAGAUGGAUCCGCGCCGCAUUAGCUAGUUGGUAAGGUAACGGCUUACCAAGGCAACGCUUCGUAGCCGACCUGAGAGGGUGAUCGGCAACACUGGAACUGAGACAGGGUCAAGACUCCUACGGGAGGCAGCAGUAGGGAAUCUUCCGCAAUGGGCGAAAGCCUGACGGAGAAACGCCGCGUGAGUGAUGAAGGUCUUCGGAUCGAAAAACUCUGUUAAUAGGGAAGAACAAAUGUGUAAGUAACUAUGCACGUCUUGACGGUACCUAAUCAGAAAGCCACGGCUAACUACGUG